rnacentral:piRNA from 1 species
UCUCUGAACAAGUGCUUCAUCAAAGUGCCU